rnacentral:lncRNA from 1 species
AGUCAUAUGCCUUUGGUUGUCAAUAAUCUGAAAUCUCUUCAUAUCUUGAGUAGUUGUGAUUAGCCUCCUGAUUCUGAUAUCCUAAGUAAUGUGAUUUCAAUGGUUUGUUGACCUUCAUAUCAUGAUCUUCAUUUGUUUUACUACCUGAUACUACAAUUAGUUUGGUAGGUGUUUAUGCUGCUAAUUGUUUGAUUCUAAUUUCACAAUUACUUUUAUCUUCAGUACUCGCGCAUAAUUAGGCUAUUCUUUCUUGAUGAACCUUUAAUUGCUUCCUAAUUGUGUUCAUGAACUAAGUGUUCAAUCCCCG